GAGGAGUGAUGACGCUGAGAAACGGUUUCGCUCUUUGAUCUGAUGUCGCGUGAUGUCACAUCUUCUCUUGGCUGUCUGACCAA